CAUCACCGAAGUCAAGCAUCAUUGGGAGCGGUCAGUACUUGGGAGGGUGACCACCUGGGAACACCGCGUGCCGUUG